CGAAGUUGGAAGUCCUCAAGAAGUGCAGCGCUUCCUAGACUUCACUCAUCCUGUGAAAUCGAGACAUGCUGGCUCUCAGUGAUGCUUAGACGGAAAACCACGCACCCCACACAGAGGAUGGAACCAGCCACUUCCCGGUUGUCAUGAGGAGCCAUGAUUUCUCCAGGAGCUGGGUAAAGGGCACAGGGAUCAGCCUCUCAAAGGAUUCCAGGCGGCUGUUCCAAUCCAGGAGGAAAACUGUGCCACCGAAAUCUCCCAGCACCUGUGCAGUGAAGUGCCACUUAAACCUGAUGUGAUGCACAGACCUUGCCCUGGCUGUCUGCACAGGGCUGAAUUUCACCCCGUCAGAGUGUAUUCUAAGGGCCCCCCCGUGCAUCAUAUGGGCAUUCUUGGGGGUGCAGAUGGCAUCAGACCUGCACCUGAAUAAAUAAUAGGGAAUGAAAUAUGCAGACACUAAAGUUCUGCAGCCAAAUUCUCAGAAACCUUCCUCUUCCCUGUAGGAUCAGGAUUUUGGUUUGAAUUGAUUUAAAAAAAAAAAAAAGUGCUAAGCAGAUGCUACACUGUAAGAAGAGGAAAGAGAAUCAAAAACUGAAAGAUUGUUACUAAAACCAAUGAACAGCUGCAGAGAGUGGAGACCCGGCAAAGCAAACAAAUGAAUACUGUGAGUAAAUAACCUGAAAGCAAAUGGGGAAGAAAACCUCAUCUGGGUAAUUGUGGCUCUUGGGACAAAAAUCGGGUUCCUGGGUACGUAGCCUGGCUGAGAUCAUCCCUUUUCCCUGGGAUUCAAAUGUCAUUCUCUGUGUGGUGUCCUUAUUUUAUUCCUAGGAAAAGGAUCCCCAAAGGAGGUGUUAGGAUCCGGGACUCUAAUGUCUGCCAGAAGAUUCAGCCACCUUCACAGGUAGAAGUCACUGGCUUUCCUACAAUGCCACUAGCGCUCUUCCUGCUCUCCAGGUCUGCUCCCUCCAGCAGGACAGAGACACCCCUUAACUCCCCGAGUCCUGAUUU